rnacentral:rRNA from 1 species
GACGAACGCUGGCGGCGUGCUUAACACAUGCAAGUCGAACGGAAAGGCCCUGCUUUUGUGGGGUGCUCGAGUGGCGAACGGGUGAGUAACACGUGAGUAACCUGCCCUUGACUUUGGGAUAACUUCAGGAAACUGGGGCUAAUACCGGAUAGGAGCUCCUGCUGCAUGGUGGGGGUUGGAAAGUUUCGGCGGUUGGGGAUGGACUCGCGGCUUAUCAGCUUGUUGGUGGGGUAGUGGCUUACCAAGGCUUUGACGGGUAGCCGGCCUGAGAGGGUGACCGGCCACAUUGGGACUGCGAGAGGGACCAGACUCCUACGGGAGGCAGCAGUGGGGAAUAUUGCACAAUGGGCGGAAGCCUGAUGCAGCAACGCCGCGUGCGGGAUGACGGCCUUCGGGGUGUAAACCGCUUUCGCCUGUGACGAAGCGUGAGUGACGGUAAUGGGUAAAGAAGCACCGGCUAACUACGUG